UCGAGGAUCUUCGGCAAUGUGCGCAAGCACGACCGAGCGACGCCGCGUGGGCGACGAAGGCCUUCGGGUUGUAAAGCCCUGUCGAGGGGGAGAAAAGGCAACUUGAUCGACCCCUGGAGGAAGCACGGGCUAAGUUCGUGCCAGCAGCCGCGGUAAGACGAACCGUGCGAACGUUGUUCGGAAUCACUGGGCUUAAAGGGCGCGUAGGCGGGCUGCCGCGUCCGGGGUGAAAUCCUCCCGCUCAACGGGAGAACGGCCUCGGGUACGGGCGGCCUCGAGGGGGGUAGGGGCGUGCGGAACUGUAGGUGGAGCGGUGAAAUGCGUUGAGAUCUACAGGAACUCCGGUGGCGAAGGCGGCACGCUGGACCCCUUCUGACGCUGAGGCGCGAAAGCCAGGGGAGCGAACGGGAUUAGAUACCCCCGUAGUCC
rnacentral:rRNA from 1 species